rnacentral:rRNA from 1 species
UACGUAGGGCGCGAGCGUUGUCCGGAUUUAUUGGGCGUAAAGAGCUCGUAGGCGGCUUGUCGCGUCGACCGUGAAAACUUGGGGCUCAACCCCAAGCCUGCGGUCGAUACGGGCAGGCUCGAGUUCGGUAGGGGAGACUGGAAUUCCUGGUGUAGCGGUGAAAUGCGCAGAUAUCAGGAGGAACACCCGUGGCUAAGGCGGCUCUCUAGUACGGUACUGACGCUGAGACGCGAAAGCGUGGGGAGCGAACAGG